rnacentral:rRNA from 1 species
AUUGAACGCUGGCGGCAGGCCUAACACAUGCACGUCGAACGAGUGGCGGACGGGUGAGUAAUGUCUGGGAAACUGCCUGAUGGCGGGGGAUAACUACUGGAAACGGUAGCUAAUACCACAUACCAUCGGAUGUGCCCAGUUUGGAUUAGCUAGUAGGUGGGGUAAAGGCGCACCUAGGCGACUAUCCCUAGCUGGUCUGAGAGGAUGACCAGCCACACUGGAACUGAGACACGGUCCAGACGCCUACGGUAGGCAGCAGUGGGGAAUAUUGCACAAUGGGCGCAAGCCUGAUGCAGCCAUGCCGCGUGUAUGAAGAAGGCCUUCGGGUUGUAAAGUACUUUCAGCGGGGAGGCGUUACCCGCAGAAGAAGCACCGGCUAACUCCGUGCCAGCAGCCGCGGUAAUAC